GACUUAUCCAGUGGCAUAAAUGGUUAGAGCAUCUGCCUAAGACACAGUAGGUCAUGGGUUCAAACCCCAUCUGAGUCA